GCUACCGGAUUGGCUCGCGUGCCAUUAGCUAGUUGGCGGGGUAACGGCCCACCAAGGCGACGAUGGCUAGGGGUUCUGAGAGGAAGGUCCCCCACAUUGGAACUGAGACACGGUCCAGACUCCUACGGGAGGCAGCAGUGAGGAAUAUUGGUCAAUGGCCGAGAGGCUGAACCAGCCAUGCCGCGUGCGGGAGGACGGCCCUAUGGGUUGUAAACCGCUUUUGUCAGGGGGCAAUAAGGUCCACGUGUGGACUGAUGAGAGUACCUGGCGAAUAAGCAUCGGCUAACUCCGUGCCAGCAGCCGCGGUAAUACGGAGGAUGCAAGCGUUAUCCGGAUUUAUUGGGUUUAAAGGGUGCGUAGGCGGGCUUUUAAGCGUGAGGUGAAAUGCCUGGGCUCAACCUGGGAACUGCCUCGCGAACUGGAGGCCUUGAAUGUCCGUGCCGUGGGAGGAAUGUGUGGUGUAGCGGUGAAAUGCAUAGAGAUCACACAGAACACCGAUUGCGAAGGCAUCUCACGAACGGAUGAUUGACGCUGAGGCACGAAAGCGUGGGGAUCAAACAGGAUUAGAUACCCUGGUAGU
rnacentral:rRNA from 1 species